UACGUAGGGUGCGAGCGUUGUCCGGAAUUAUUGGGCGUAAAGGGCUCGUAGGCGGUCUGUUGCGUCGGGAGUGAAAACUCAGGGCUUAACCCUGAGCCUGCUUCCGAUACGGGCAGACUAGAGGUAUGCAGGGGAGAACGGAAUUCCUGGUGUAGCGGUGAAAUGCGCAGAUAUCGGGAAGAACACCCGUGGCGAAGGCGGUUCUCUGGGACGGUACUGACGCUGAGACGCGAAAGCGUGGGGAGCGAACAGG
rnacentral:rRNA from 1 species